rnacentral:lncRNA from 1 species
ACCCUCACCUAAAGUAGAUUACAAGUCUCCACCACCACCGUAUGUUUACAGCUCCCCACCACCACCAUACUAUUCACCUUCUCCAAAGCCCACAUACAAAUCACCACCACCUCCAUAUGUUUACAAUUCUCCACCACCACCAUACUACUCACCAUCCCCUAAGGUCGAAUACAAAUCUCCACCACCUCCAUACGUCUAUAGCUCUCCACCCCCACCAUACUACUCACCCUCACCUAAAGUAGAUUAUAAGUCUCCACCACCACCGUAUGUUUACAACUCUCCACCACCACCAUACUAUUCACCUUCUCCAAAACCCACAUACAAGUCCCCACCACCACCAUAUAUUUACAGCUCUCCACCACCACCAUACUAUUCUCCUUCUCCUAAACCAGUAUACAAAUCUCCACCACCACCAUACGUCUAUUCCUCUCCACCACCACCAUACUAUUCACCUUCUCCUAAACCAGCAUACAAAUCUCCACCACCACCGUAUGUUUAUAGCUCUCCACCUCCUCCAUACUACUCGCCUUCUCCUAAACCCAUAUACAAGUCUCCACCACCACCGUACGUCUACAACUCUCCUCCACCACCAUACUACUCUCCUUCUCCAAAACCGGCAUACAAAUCUCCACCACCACCAUACGUAUACAGCUUUCCACCUCCUCCAUACUACUCGCCUUCUCCUAAACCCGUAUACAAGUCUCCACCACCACCAUACGUCUACAACUCUCCUCCACCACCAUACUACUCUCCUUCUCCAAAACCGGCAUACAAAUCUCCACCACCACCAUACGUAUACAGCUCUCCACCACCACCAUACUACUCGCCUUCUCCUAAACCAACAUACAAAUCUCCACCACCACCAUAUGUUUAUAGCUCUCCACCUCCUCCAUACUACUCGCCUUCUCCUAAACCCGUAUACAAGUCUCCACCACCACCGUACAUCUACAACUCUCCACCACCACCAUACUACUCCCCUUCACCUAAACCAUCAUACAAAUCCCCACCACCACCAUAUGUUUACAGCUCUCCACCACCACCAUAUUACUCGCCUUCUCCUAAGCUUACAUACAAAUCCUCACCACCACCCUAUGUUUACAGCUCUCCACCACCACCAUAUUACUCUCCUUCUCCUAAGGUUGUAUACAAAUCUCCACCACCACCAUAUGUUUACAGCUCUCCACCACCACCAUACUACUCCCCUUCACCUAAACCAUCAUACAAAUCCCCACCACCACCGUACGUCUAUAACUCUCCACCUCCUCCUUACUACUCUCCUUCACCUAAGGUCAUAUACAAAUCGCCACCACACCCACAUGUAUGUGUUUGUCCCCCACCUCCACCAUGCUACUCUCAUUCU